AUAUGGCUCAGGAUGAACGCUAGCGGCAGGCUUAACACAUGCAAGUCGAGGGGCAUCGGGAGUAGCAAUACUUGCCGGCGACCGGCGCAAGGGUGCGUAACGCGUGAGCAACAUGCCCGUAUCAGGGGGAUAAUCCAUGGAAACGUGGUCUAAUACCCCAUAGUAAUUAUGUAAGGCAUCUUAUAUAAUUUAAAGCUUUGGUGGAUACGGAUUGGCUCGCGUGACAUUAGCUGGAUGGUAAGGUAACGGCUUACCAUGGCUACGAUGUCUAGGGGUUCUGAGAGGAAGGUCCCCCACACUGGAACUGAGACACGGUCCAGACUCCUACGGGAGGCAGCAGUGAGGAAUAUUGGACAAUGGAUGGAAAUCUGAUCCAGCCAUGCCGCGUGCAAGGAAGACGGCCCUAUGGGUUGUAAACUGCUUUUGUAUGGGAGCAAUAAGGGCUACGUGUAGUCCGAUGAGAGUACCAUACGAAUAAGCACCGGCUAACUCCGUGCCAGCCGCGGC
rnacentral:rRNA from 1 species